AACGAACGCUGGCGGCAUGCCUAACACAUGCAAGUCGAACGAGAUCUUCGGGUCUAGUGGCGCACGGGUGCGUAACGCGUGGGAAUCUGCCCUUUGGUUCGGAAUAACAGUUGGAAACGACUGCUAAUACCGGAUGAUGACGAAAGUCCAAAGAUUUAUCGCCAGAGGAUGAGCCCGCGUAGGAUUAGCAAGUUGGUGUGGUAAAGGCGCACCAAGGCGACGAUCCUUAGCUGGUCUGAGAGGAUGAUAGGCCACACUGGGACUGAGACACGGCCCCGACUUCUACGGGUGGCAGCAGUGGGGAAUAUUGGACAAUGGGCGAAAGCCUGAUCCAGCAAUGCCGCGUGAGUGAUGAAGGCCUUAGGGUUGUAAAGCUCUUUUACCCGGGAUGAUAAUGACAGUACCGGGAGAAUAAGCUCCGGCUAACUCCGUGCCAGCAGCCGCAGUAA
rnacentral:rRNA from 1 species